UGCCCAACUCGGCCUCCCAAAGUGUUGGGAUUACAGGUGUGAGCCACCUCACCCAGCUUCGUUCCAUCUCUUAUACUUAAACAGUUGCCUCUUAUUUCCUGCCUCAGCCCUUUUGGGGUUUCUACAGCUGAUUCUACUAAUGGCUUCCAUCGACCAGUGCAGGCUUUUCUCAUUUCUUCACUCAUAUCUUGUAGAAUUUCCUUUCUGGGGUCUGUGGUCUUGUCAUUAUCAUAUUCUCAGAUACUGGAUUCUUAUGUUGGGUUCUUGUGUUUCUUUUAUGUACUUAUUUAUAUAUGCUUUCCUUGGUGGGCUCUGGUGCCUUUUAGGCUAACUAACUGAAAAACAAUGUAUCCACAAAAUUAAAAUGCACUUUUCCAGUCCAAUUGACCCAAACAGAAUUAUACCACCAAAUUAGUUUUACUAGUUUUCUGUUUUUUUCAGUGAUAUCCAGGGUCCUGUCUUAAGCCUUAGCUCUUGGUGGUUCACUUACCCCAUGUUACAGUUUUGUUACUGCAUUAUAAGUAUCCCCAAAUCUCAGUGGCUUAAAACAACAACCAUUUUAUUAUAUUUCAUGAGUUUCUGGGUUAGGAGAUUAGGUAGGGCUUGGCUGGGCAAUUCUUCUUCUCCACGUGGUCUUGACUUGGUAUUUAGCUGGCAGCUGAGCUAGCCUGGUGGGUCUAAGGUAGCAUGAUUUAGUUGCCAGGCACAUUGCCAGAGAUGGCUGCCUGGCUGAAUGGCUGGGCUGGGCCCCUUCCUUCUCCAUGUCAUCUAUAACCUUCCCACAUGAUAUCUUUAGAGGAGUAGAUAGAUUUCCUACAUGGCAGCUUGGGGCUCCAAGAAUAAAAGUCUUCUCAGAGUCAGGAAGUAAAAGCUACCAGUCUCUUAAGGCUAAGACCUGGAACUGAGACAUCAUUUGUGCUGCAUCCUAUCAGUUAAAGUAGUCAAAGAGCCUGCCCACAUUCAAGAGGAAAAAACAUAGGCCCCUCUCCGUAAAGGGAGGUAUCUCAAAUAAUUUGUGGCCAUCUUUAAUCCACCAUAUCCCAGCAAAGUUCUAUUCUUUGACAGCAGGCUUUUUAGGUAGCGUCACAUUUUCAGCAACUAUUGCUACUGCGUGCCUGUCUUCUGCAUAUUUCCUGGUUGCCUAGAUUACGAUGUCAUGAGGAACUGAUUAGGCCCUUUGCAACUGUGUCUUACAUGAGCCACUGUAGCUCAGUCCCAUCCCUUAGCUUGUUCCUCUCCUGCCCAAUCAGAAAGUUAUGUUUUACACCCAAGCCAGCUUCCGUUGUGACAUCACACAUAAAAUGUGCGUAAAAUGCUUACAUCAAUUGCAUUGGCUCCUAGAAUUCAGAAAUUGCAGUGACUUAAACAAGAGAGUCAUUUGUUUCUCUCUCACAUAAAAGGAAUUUGAAAGAACAGAGUCAAGAUCAGAUAAUAAAGCUCAGAGAGGAUAGCCACUUCCUCAAGGACACAGACCACAGGUAUGGACCAAUGUUAGCCAAUCAUCCACCUGACAAUAGCAACUGAUUCAAGACGGGAGCUCAAGAACCAAGUAGGGCCUGAGGGCUUUACCUGAAGUGAAAUAUGAACAUCCAAUGGCAAAAAGAAAUACUCUCUCCACUGGAUUGUUAUGCCUGGGCCUGCAGCAACCAAGUUCUCUACCACAUGGAGAGAUAUGAGAUAUGGUUAGACAAAAUGAGAAGAGCACAGACAAGCAGAAACAAGAGCUGGGCAGGAUCCCUGUUCAGACUAACUUACAGUCUGAACGUACAUGCAAAGAUCUCUGAAAAGCAGUCUAUCCAAGUGGGCUUAAAACUUUAGUCAUGACAAAUUGUAUUUUCAGAGGCAGCACAGUGCAUUUCUUAAAGCUCUUGUUGUUCUUCUUUACUAUCAAAUAAAAAUUGGCUCCCUGUAACUUGU
rnacentral:lncRNA from 1 species